AUUUUUGUCCUCCUGUUUAUCCUCAUGUUUAUUCCCACUUCGUUGAAAUUGUGGAAACCAACUUGUUAUGCGUAGUUAAAUAAAGUUAUCAUCAUUCGUAUAUAUAUUUUCACUUCUGUAUAUUUUUUCUUCACUAUAUACUUUUACUUCGCUGUAUUUUUGCUUCCCUUAUUCUUACUCGAUUUAGGAGCUCUACAUCGCACACGACGUCUUGCAUAAUAUGCGUCUUCUGACGUUCUGUGUUGCUCGCACACUUUUUUGCAUUACGAUAUAGGAAAGGAACUCGGCUUCGCUUCGCACUCGCUUAGCCCUAUCUUUAUCAAUCAAUCAAACAUGGUAAAAUCUUAACUAUGGUAUAACAUAUUACAAGAACAAUAUGUUUAUCUUCACUCAUUCGUACUCGAUUUAGGAGCUCAACACCGUACGACGUCUU
rnacentral:lncRNA from 1 species